UCUGGUUGAUCCUGCCGGAGGCUACUGCUAUCGGGGUUCGAUUAAGCCAUGCGAGUCGAGAGGUGCAAGACCUCGGCAUACUGCUCAGUAACACGUGGACAACCUACCCUAAGGAGGGGGAUAACCCCGGAAAACUGGGGAUAAUACCCCAUAGACUACAGAAGCUGGAAUGCUCUGUAAUUGAAAGGUCCGCCGCCUUAGGAUGGGUCUGCGGCUGAUUAGGUUGUUGUUGGGGUAACGGCCCAACAAGCCUGUAAUCAGUACGGGUUGUGGGAGCAAGAACCCGGAGAUGGAUUCUGAGACACGAAUCCAGGCCCUACGGGGCGCAGCAGGCGCGAAAACUUUACAAUGCGGGAAACCGUGAUAAGGGAACCCCGAGUGCCCGUAAAUUCGGGCUGUUAACCUGUUUAAAAAGCAGGUGGAGAGAGGGCCGGGCAAGACCGGUGCCAGCCGCCGCGGUAAUACCGGCGGCUCGAGUGGUGGCCACUAUUACUGGGCUUAAAGCGUCCGUAGCUGGAUUGUUAAGUCUCUUGGGAAAUCUACCGGCUUAACCGAUAGGCGUUCAAGGGAUACUGGCAAUCUAGGGACCGGGAGAGGUGAGAGGUACUCCAGGGGUAGGAGUGAAAUCCUGUAAUCCUUGGGGGACCACCUGUGGCGAAGGCGUCUCACCAGAACGGCUCCGACAGUGAGGGACGAAAGCUGGGGGAGCAAACCGGAUUAGAUACCCGGGUAGUCCCAGCUGUAAACGAUGCGCGUUAGGUGUAUCGGUGACCACGAGUCACCGAGGUGCCGAAGAGAAAUCGUGAAACGUGCCGCCUGGGAAGUAUGGUCGCAAGGCUGAAACUUAAAGGAAUUGGCGGGGGAGCACCACAACGGGUGGAGCCUGCGGUUUAAUCGGACUCAACGCCGGAAAGCUCACCAGAUAAGACAGCGGAAUGAUAGCCGGGCUGAAGACUCUGCUUGACUAGCUGAGAGGAGGUGCAUGGCCGUCGUCAGUUCGUACUGUGAAGCAUCCUGUUAAGUCAGGCAACGAGCGAGACCCA
rnacentral:rRNA from 1 species